CCUACGGGAGGCAGCAGUGGGGAAUAUUGCACAAUGGGGGAAACCCUGAUGCAGCGACGCCGCGUGAGUGAAGAAGGAAUUCGUUAUGUAAAGCUCUUUCAGCCGGGAAGCAAAUGACGGUACCUGACUAAGAAGCACCGGCUAACUACGUGCCAGAAGCCGCGGUAAUACGGAAGGGGCCAGCGUUAUCCGGAUUUACUGGGUGUAAAGGGAGCGUAGACGGCAGUGCAAGUCUGGAGUGAAAGGCGGAGGCUCAACCCCCGGACUGCUCUGGAAACUGGACGGCUGGAGUGCAGGAGAGGUAAGUGGAAUUCGUGGUGUAGCGGUGAAAUGCGUAGAUAUUAGGAGGAACACCAGUGGCGAAGGCGGCUUACGGGACUGUAACUGACGGUGAGGCUCGAAAGCGCGGGGAGCAAACAGGAUUAGAUACCCGAGUAGUC
rnacentral:rRNA from 1 species